rnacentral:lncRNA from 1 species
CAUUCCACCUUACCAUCAGCUUCAUUACUCACACUGUUAAAAAGAGGAACUGUUGCUAUUGGCUGCAUCAUUUGUUAUCUAUCAAGGAGGCGAAAACUGUACAGAUAUACUACAUGAGAUUCUUUCCACAAAGUUACACAAACAUCACAUUUAGAGGAACUUGAUGACAGUAUGAAGAAACAGUUGUUUCUAUCUCUGACUUUUACAAGAUAACCUGAAACCAGCAAAGAAUCAGCAUAAUAUAAAAAUGGAUAUCAUGCUCUUAGUAAAGUGAGGAAAGGAAGAAGAAAAACAAAACAUUACAGCAGCUUCAAGGAUUUUAAUAAGACCAGGAAAACAAAUAUAAAUAGAAAACUUUAAUAGAAAAUCUUUAAUAAUAUCUACAGUUUUUCCAACACAAAGAGGCUAGUCCUCAUAUUCUGAAGCUAUUAUUAAACCUUUCCAAAUCUUACAAGCUGUUGAAAUGCAUUCAGGAAAAAACUAUUCAGAGGUAAAAAAAAAAAAAAAAAAAAAAGCUCUUGGAUACAAGAUUAUUUAUAAUUUUGUUAAUGACUUACUAAAGAAGACGAGGCUAAAAUGUUUGACUUCAAUGAUUAGAUCCCUCCAUUUCACUGUUCCAGCAAUCAAUCAACAAAUGUGAGAGAAACAACUAAUCUGUGAAGGAAUCAGUAUGGAGCAGACAACCAAAGAACAUUUUUUUCCCUGUAGUAAAACUUCCACUUAUCCAGAUCCAUUUUGCGUUUUUUACUUCAACAGAAAGUUUAGAAAUACAGAAAAAGAAAAUGCAAUAAUUGUGAUGAGACAACUAAUUGGUUUGGACUCAGUAUCGUUAUCACAGCAAUAAACUCCAAGAAUUGUUUAAUGGGAAUUAUAUCUAGUUCACUUCCCUCUGUAUUGGAAAAAACUAAGUUCAAUUCAAUACAAAAUCCUCUGUGAGUUCAUGCAGUUAUUUAUCAAUAUGUCAUUUGUUUUU